rnacentral:hammerhead_ribozyme from 1 species
UAAUGGCUGACGAGUCCCAAAUAGGACGAAAUACGCAUCUCGGGG